rnacentral:misc_RNA from 1 species
GCAAACUUGGUCAUUUAGAGGAAGUAAAAGUCGUAACAAGGUUUCCGUAGGUGAACCUGCGGAAGGAUCAUUAGAAUAAAAGAAAGAUCGAUCCCGACGAACGUGAGGGGACGAUCGAAUCCACAUCCAUCCCCGUGUGCACUCAUCGACCGUUUGCUUUGGCAGGAAAAAGGAGCCUUCGAUCCGGGGGGCGCCGGGAGGACGCACGCGUGUAUUCGUAUACAUAAUAAUAUAUAUGUAUACGCACGCGCACGCGCGCAGCCUCGGCCUGCCAGAGUUUUUUUUCUUCUCCUACGAACUCGCGCCUUUUUCUUCUGUUUACUUUGAUCGGACUGAACCUUCGUCUCGAUUCUGUUUGCAAUCGGUCGAAACGAAUACAACUUUCAACAACGGAUCUCUUGGCUCUCGCAUCGAUGAAGAACGCAGC